CAGUGCUUGAGCUAUUAUAUGCCUCGGUCGUGCAGGAACAAAAGUGUGGCAUGCUGGCGCGUUGUAAGGGACAAACAACUUUCUCUAUGUAUGCGUGACCGACCUAGGGUCUUACAGAGAUGAGUUGUGUUAACAAGGGCACAUUGAGCAUGGAAAACAAGCGAGAAAGGCAUGUAUGGUGCAUGCGACAAAUAAAAUU